UACAGAGGGGGCAAGCGUUGUUCGGAAUUACUGGGCGUAAAGGGCGCGUAGGCGGCCCGCUAAGUCGAACGUGAAAUCCCUGGGCUCAACCCAGGAACUGCGUCCGAUACUGGCGGGCUUGAAUCCGGGAGAGGGAUGCGGAAUUCCAGGUGUAGCGGUGAAAUGCGUAGAUAUCUGGAGGAACACCCGUGGCGAAGGCGGCCAGCUGGGCCGUCCCUGACGCUGAGGCGCGAAGGCGUGGGGAGCGAACGGG
rnacentral:rRNA from 1 species